rnacentral:rRNA from 1 species
CCUACGGGUGGCUGCAGUGGGGAAUAUUGGACAAUGGGGGCAACCCUGAUCCAGCCAUGCCGCGUGUGAAGAAGGCCCUCGGGUUGUAAAGCACUUUCAGUGAGGAAGAACGCCUGGUGGUUAAUACCCAUCAGGAAAGACAUCACUCACAGAAGAAGCACCGGCUAACUCCGUGCCAGCAGCCGCGGUAAUACGGAGGGUGCGAGCGUUAAUCGGAAUUACUGGGCGUAAAGCGCGCGUAGGUGGCUUGAUAAGCCGGUUGUGAAAGCCCCGGGCUCAACCUGGGAACGGCAUCCGGAACUGUCAAGCUAGAGUGCAGGAGAGGAAGGUAGAAUUCCCGGUGUAGCGGUGAAAUGCGUAGAGAUCGGGAGGAAUACCAGUGGCGAAGGCGGCCUUCUGGACUGACACUGACACUGAGGUGCGAAAGCGUGGGUAGCAAACAGGAUUAGAUACCCUUGUAGUC